rnacentral:lncRNA from 1 species
AGAAAGUUAGUUUACUACCUCUUUGCCCUGUUCAUUAACUAGCAUGGAAUUGAAACGAUCAUGAAUAAUGGCAGCUAUUGCAACAUAAAUUCCUUAUCUUGUAACAAUGCCGCAUGAAACCAGUAGAGGCUGAAAAUAUUUCUUUCUAUCCUGCAUUACACAGCCCAUCUUUCAGUGAUAGAAAGAAGCAAGUGAUCAUCUUUAGUCUUGAUGCUUGUGAAUUAUGACUCAUCCUCAGCUUGCGAAUCUGGAAUUGGGUGCCCAGAAGUCAAAGUCCAGACAUUUAAAAGCCCAAAACUGUUGUCUUAACACAAUUCUGAAGAACUAUCAUGGUUCCAGAGCUUCUCAGAAGGUUGUCUGAGGUCUCAGUUAAACUGCGUGGCAGGUCAGCUCAACUUUUUGUCUUCCCCUCCCCUCCUGUCUUUUUCACUUCUUUACAGGUGUAUCUCACAAGAGCACUACUCUAGCAACCUGCAUACAGCCCUCCAUCUCUGUCUUCAGAAAAUGAAUGCAAGCUAGUGGGAUAGGAUGGAUUCUGGAAACUCUCCUCUAAAAUGGAUCACUCACUGAUAGGUUGACAUUGUGAACACCAUCACUGGUGGCAAGUGGAUGCAGAUAAUCCUUGGCACAUAAGUGAAGUGCUAUUGUUAAAAUUCUCACCAGGGAUGAACUAAUGUGGCAUACAACUGGAAGGAGACACAUCAGGUGACAAAAUAUUUUUGGCACUUGAGGUAUAUGAGGGACAUGGAACCUAUAAUAGCCAUGGUCUUGUUUGGCCUUCCUGUACACCGUUGAGUCAUUGGAGAAGUGGUGAUUAUCCAUCAAUUGAUGAUGAAAAUGUAUAAGCCAGAUUGUCUCCUAGCGAGCAUUCAAGGAAAUCCUUAAUCUCCUGCAACCAGAGGACAGAGUCGAAGACCAGGCCUAGAGUUAACAGAAGACUAGUAAGACUUGAGAGAAGGUUGAAUUAUUAUCUCCAGAAGAUAUUUUACAUCAAGCUCAGAAAACGAAUAUGAAAGGAGUGGGACUCUGAGAAUUAAGAUGGGAAAAUCUGGUUAGAUUCUCUUCAGAACCCUGAGUUCUCAGAGUUCUCUGAAAUCUUAGGUUCUGUGGAAAUGGUCAAUGCUUUCCAUUAGAAAAUAGUGAUUUCAGUUGGGCACAGUGGCUCACGCCUGUAAUCCUAGCACUUUGGGAGGCCAAGGCGGGUGGAUCAUGGGAGGUCAGGAGUUCGAGAUCAGCCUGGCCAACAUGGUGAAACUCUGAUUCUAUUAAAAAUACAAAAAAUUAGCCAGGCUUGAUGGCAUGUGCUAGUAGUCCUAGCUACUCUGGAGGCUGAUGCAGGAGGAUCACUUUAGCUCUGGAGGUGGAGGUUGUAGUGAGCCGAGAUCAUACCACUGCACUCUAGCCUGGAUGACAGAGUGAGACUCGGUCUCAAAACAAAAAAAUAAAAAAAAGAAAAUAGUGAUUUCUCCUUGUUUUAACAUCAUGCAAAGGCUCAGAUGAGCCAGAGCUUACAAGAGCUUGUUCUUUAUCAGGAUAUAGAUGAAAUUCCAUUUUAGGUAACCAGAGUCAAAUCUCAGAGACUGGGAGCAAGAAUCAAACCCAGCAUAACCAGGCUUGAAGGUGACAGUCUGCUAAAAAAGAAGAGGCAUACUAUGCUGAAGAAGCUGAAACAUGUGUGCCAGCAGGUUUGGAAGAGUAUACAUUGGAAUGAAUCCUGAAGAUGCUGGAUUAAGGAAGGCACAGCAUACAACUGGACAAGGGAGCAUUCUUUCUUGAUAUAGAAUUUAACACCCUAGAAAGAAUUCUGGUAGACAAUGCUUUAUGACU